rnacentral:ncRNA from 1 species
CGUUCUCGGGGCGGGGUGCAAUUCCCCACCGGCGGUAAAGAAUUAUUUCUAAGCCCGCGAGCGCCUUUAAGAUGUUUCUUUUAGGGUCAGCAGAUCUGGUGUGAUUCCAGAGCCGACGGUGAUAGUCCGGAUGAUAGAGAGCG